GACGAACGCUGGCGGCGUGCUUAACACAUGCAAGUCGAACGGAAAGGCCCUGCUUUUGUGGGGUGCUCGAGUGGCGAACGGGUGAGUAACACGUGAGUAACCUGCCCUUGACUUUGGGAUAACCUCAGGAAACUGGGGCUAAUACCGGAUAGGAGCUCCUGCUGCAUGGUGGGGGUUGGAAAGUUUCGGCGGUUGGGGAUGGACUCGCGGCUUAUCAGCUUGUUGGUGGGGUAGUGGCUUACCAAGGCUUUGACGGGUAGCCGGCCUGAGAGGGUGACCGGCUACAUUGGGACUGAGAUACGGCACAGACUCCUACGGGAGGCAGCAGUGGGGAAUAUUGCACAAUGGGCGGAAGCCUGAUGCAGCAACGCCGCGUGCGGGAUGACGGCCUUCGGGUUGUAAACCGCUUUCGCCUGUGACGAAGCGUGAGUGACGGUAAUGGGUAAAGAAGCACCGGCUAACUACGUG
rnacentral:rRNA from 1 species